UCUCUCUCUCUCUCUCUCUCUCAAUUCAUAAACAACAUUGACGUUGAUCUCGAUGUCACCACCACCACUAUAAAUAAACCCUCUUCCCACUAUUUUUGCAAUCUCACACUUUUGGAGCCCAAAAAUUUCUCUCAACCAUUAAAAAUCAAAACUUUUUUUUGUCUCUCCGGCGUCAAUGGAGGAUCUCCGUCGUAGAUUCCUGAUCAGAAACAACGACGAAGAAACCUCCAAUGUCGCCGUCGCUACUCCUCCUCGCAAAGCCUCUGACGCGCUUCCUCUUCCGUUGUACCUGACCAACACUUUCUUCCUCGCUCUCUUCUUCGCUACUGUUUAUUUCCUCCUCAGUCGAUGGCGUGAGAAGAUCCGUAACUCGACGCCUCUUCACGUCGUUGACCUCUCUGAGAUCUCCGCUCUCUUUGGUUUCGUUGCUUCCUUCAUCUACCUCCUUGGUUUCUUCGGUAUCGAUCUUAUUUUCCGAUCUUCUUCCGAUGAUGAUGUUUGGGUUAACGAUGAGGAUUUACGGAGGAAGGUCCCCUGUGGUCAAUCCCUAGCUCCAUUGAUUGUUCAUUCCCCUGAUUCGGAUCUUGUUUCGGUGGAAGAUGAAGAGAUUAUUAAAUCAGUGGUUGAAGGAACCAUCCCGUCUUACUCAUUGGAGACGAAGCUCGGAGAUUGCAAACGAGCUGCAGCGAUUAGGAGAGAAGCGGUUCAGAGGAUAACCGGUAAGUCGUUAACCGGUCUUCCGUUGGAAGGUUUCGAUUACGAUUCGAUUUUGGGGCAAUGCUGUGAGAUGCCAGUUGGGUAUGUUCAGAUCCCAGUGGGAAUUGCGGGACCGUUGCUGCUCGAUGGGGUUGAGUAUUCAGUGCCAAUGGCUACAACUGAAGGUUGUUUGGUUGCUAGUACUAAUAGAGGUUGUAAAGCUAUUCACUUGUCUGGUGGUGCUUUAAGUGUUCUGAUGAAAGAUGCAAUGACUAGAGCUCCUGUUGUUAAGUUCCCUUCUAUAAUGAGAGCUGCUGAUGCCAUGUUUUAUCUCGAAGAUCCUGCUAAUUUUGAGAGAUUGUCUCUCAUUUUCAACAAAUCGAGUAGAUUUGCUAGACUUCAGAAGAUUACAUGCACGAUUGCUGGAAGGAAUCUAUAUCCGAGGUUUGCGUGUGGUACUGGUGAUGCUAUGGGGAUGAACAUGGUCUCCAAAGGUGUUCAGAAUGUCUUGGAUUUCAUAAAGACCGAGUUUCCUGACAUGGAUGUUGUUGGCAUCACAGGGAAUUACUGUUCGGACAAGAAGGCUUCGGGUGUAAACUGGAUCGAAGGACGUGGUAAGCAUGUUGUAUGUGGAGCCUUGAUUAAGGCUGAGAUUGUGGAGAAAGUGUUGAAGACUAGCGUUGCGGCUCUUGUAGAGCUUAACAUGCUCAAGAACCUUACUGGUUCAGCCAUGGCGGGUUCUCUUGGUGGGUUCAAUGCUCAUGCAAGCAAUAUUGUCAGCGCUGUGUUCAUCGCCACUGGCCAAGACCCAGCUCAAAACGUGGAGAGCUCACACUGUAUGACCCAAAUUGAAGCUGAGGGCAACGACCUUCACAUCUCUGUCUCAAUGCCUUGCAUUGAGGUUGGUACUGUUGGAGGUGGGACACAACUUGCAUCACAAUCAGCUUGUUUGAAUCUGCUCGGUAUGAAAGGAUCAAACAACGAGGCACCUGGUUUGAACGCACAGCAAUUGGCAAGAAUAGUGGCUGGUACAGUUCUAGCAGGAGAGCUAUCACUAAUGUCUGCUAUUGCAGCUGGACAGCUAGUGAAGAGCCACAUGAAAUACAACAGAUCGAGCAGAGACAUUGGCCCUUCGUCUCAAGUCAACAGAUGAUGUUUGGAGCACCGGACGAGGACAGAUAGUAAUAAAACAAAAACCCAAAAAUUAGAUUGAUGUAAUUUUAACCUGAUUUGAUUUCUUCCUUCAUCGAUCUCUUUUCUAUCUAUUUGUACUCUUCUCGUAGCUCAACAUAUACAUCACUUUCACAUUUCAAGCUCUACAAAGAGUGUUUAAAUAAUUUGGAUGAAUGCAUAUAGAAGGAUGGGAAGUGAAGAAGAGAAGGAUCGAUGGAGAGGAGACGAGUGGGGGCAGUAAGAAACAGAAUCAGAAGAAGAAGCCAACUGCAGAGGCUAAACUGGUGACGAGAGCAAUACAACAAAUCUCGAGGGGACUUGAGGAAAAAUACAAAGCUAACUUCCUCCAACAGAAACCAUGGCCAAAGCCUCUUGCUUAUUAUGGUAGUUUUGCACUUGGUGGGGGUUGCUUGGAUCAACAAGAAAGUCA